AGAGAAACUGCAAUCGCCUUCUUUGACCUGAAGCAACGACUCAUUCUACGACACUUCCUGAAGAAACACGGCACUGAGUCGGGACUUCCAAGGCUGGAGACUCUAGGCAUACGUACCCUAAAGGAGGCUGUGUACAUGGUGGAUGCUUUUCCGCUUGAGUUUAAUGAUGAUAAGGACGACAGCCUGAACAGCCUCCUGCAGAGACUCCCGAGGGACAAAAAGGAAAUGGAAGUUUUGUCCGAUGAAUUGUGGUCGGAGAUUGCGUCGUUGUAUAACCUUCCAAGCUCCCGAGGAUGGGGCAUAGCCUAUGG